CGCGGCCUAUCAGCUUGUUGGCGAGGUAACGGCUCACCAAGGCAACGACGGGUAGCUGGUCUGAGAGGAUGGCCAGCCACAUUGGGACUGAGAUACGGCCCAGACUCCUACGGGAGGCAGCAGUGGGGAAUCUUGCGCAAUGGCCUAACGGCUGACGCAGCGACGCCGCGUGUGGGAUGAAGCUCCUCGGAGUGUAAACCACUGUUGCCCGGGACGAAUAGCUCGAUUAAUCGAGCCUGACGGUACCGGGUGAGGAAGCACCGGCUAACUCCGUGCCAGCAGCCGCGGUAAUACGGGGGGUGCGAGCGUUGUCCGGAAUCACUGGGCGUAAAGGGCGCGUAGGUGGUUUGAUAAGGGUGUGGUGAAAGUCCGGGGCUCAACCCCGGAUCUGCCGUGCCGACUGUCAAACUCGAGGACUGUAGAGGCAGACGGAAUUCCGGGUGUAGCGGUGGAAUGCGUAGAGAUCCGGAGGAAGACCGGUGGCGAAGGCGGUCUGCUGGGCAGUUUCUGACACUGAGGCGCGACAGCGUGGGGAGCAAACAGGAUUAGAUACCCUGGUAGUCCACGCCGUAAACGAUGGGUACUAGGUGCCUGGGGGAGCGACCCUCUGGGUGCCGGCGCUAACGCAGGAAGUACCCCGCCUGGGAGUACG
rnacentral:rRNA from 1 species